GAUGAACGCUGGCGGCGUGCCUAAUACAUGCAAGUCGAGCGAACGGACGAGAAGCUUGCUUCUCUGAUGUUAGCGGCGGACGGGUGAGUAACACGUGGAUAACCUACCUAUAAGACUGGGAUAACUUCGGGAAACCGGAGCUAAUACCGGAUAAUAUUUUGAACCGCAUGGUUCAAAAGUGAAAGACGGUCUUGCUGUCACUUAUAGAUGGAUCCACGCUGCAUUAGCUAGUUGGUAAGGUAACGGCUUACCAAGGCAACGAUGCAUAGCCGACCUGAGAGGGUGGUCGGCGACACGGGAAGGUGGACGCGCACAAGACUCCUACGGGAGGCAGCAGAAGGGAAUCUUCCGCAAUGGGCGAAAACCUGACGGAGCAACGCCGCGUGAGUGAUGAAGGUCUUCGGAUCGUAAAACUCUGUUAUUAGGGAAGAACAUAUGUGUAAGUAACUGUGCACAUCUUGACGGUACCUAAUCAGAAAGCCACGGCUAACUACGUG
rnacentral:rRNA from 1 species